rnacentral:rRNA from 1 species
UACGUAGGUGGCAAGCGUUGUCCGGAAUUACUGGGUGUAAAGGGAGCGCAGGCGGGAAGCCAAGUCAGCUGUGAAAACUACGGGCUUAACUUGUAGACUGCAGUUGAAACUGGUUUUCUUGAGUGAAGUAGAGGUUGGCGGAAUUCCGAGUGUAGCGGUGAAAUGCGUAGAUAUUCGGAGGAACACCGGUGGCGAAGGCGGCCAACUGGGCUUUAACUGACGCUGAGGCUCGAAAGUGUGGGGAG